rnacentral:rRNA from 1 species
UACGUAGGGCGCAAGCGUUGUCCGGAAUUAUUGGGCGUAAAGAGCUCGUAGGCGGUUUGUCGCGUCUGCUGUGAAAACCUAAGGCUCAACCUUGGGCUUGCAGUGGGUACGGGCAGACUAGAGUGCGGUAGGGGUGACUGGAAUUCCUGGUGUAGCGGUGGAAUGCGCAGAUAUCCGGAGGAACACCGAUGGCGAAGGCAGGUCACUGGGCCGCAACUGACGCUGAGGAGCGAAAGCAUGGGGAGCGAACAGG